ACUGGAUAAAGUUGAAGGGCUGUACUGCUACCUGAUUUCUUCAUGCAGGUCAGCAACAAGAGCACCGUCUUCAGCCCUGGAGUGGAAAGUAGAGGAAGCGGGGAAAAAGAUCACUGGUCCAAGGUGGAGAAAGAGUAAUCUUGCUGCAGGGGAUAAACUCUAGAUCUAUAAUUUAUCAGUGCAGAGAAAGAGAAUAAAGGGCACGACCACACACCAAUGGAGAAAUCCCACAUGCAGAAGGAAGGCAAACUUCACCUGCAGGCCGGCGCAGGCAGGAUGCGCGGCACCAGCUGCCUGCCUGCUUCGGGCAGGUGCUCCUCGUUCUUCCUGACCCCAGCAAAGUAAAUACUGCAAUUUACAUUCCCAACCCGCAAACGUGUUGAAAUGUUUCUUUCCCGAGCCUUUACGUGAUCAGUGCUGCAACUUGCUGGAGAGCGGCUGCUCUGGAGAGAAUCUGAGGAAAAGCCUUUAACCUCCCCUAACACCUCAGGCUGAUGCGCCCCAGCCCCGCUGCGCGUGUGGAACUUACCGGCCGCCGAGCUGCAAGAUGAUCUAAUGAUAAAGCAGAGGAGCCAGAGCGCUUUGGUUGUCAUUUUGAAGUAAAAGUUUUGAUGUUGUUUUGUUUGUUGUUGUUUUUUUUUUUUUUCCCCCAGCCUCAAAACGAAGCGGAGUCUCUUACGCCCUUCCCCCGAUUCAUGCUAAUGAGAGGCAGCCUUAGGGGAAACGGGAACCGCUGCCGGACAGCCCCCUGGAGCAGCACCAAGCUGCGGCCUCCCGCCCGCACCCACAGCCCCACAGCGCGUAACGGAUGGACGGGAGGGUCACACCAAGGUUUGGAACUGGGGGAGCGCCUCGCUCUGCCCGCGGAAUCGCUCCGAGGGGAGCACACGGCUCUGCUGUGCAGGCGGCGGAUGGGCGCUGUGCCGCGCGUCGCCUCUGCGCUCCGGCGCCCAAAGGCUGAGCGUUACGGGUGGUACCCGAGGGCUCCAAGCGCGGCAGGAGCAUCCUCCGCUCAGGGACCGCUCCCGGUGCGGCGGUUAUCGCCCAGCCCAACGGGAAGCCCUGCUGACCGCAGACACCUCUUUAUUUUUCAAUCCCUAUUUGCUGACGUGCAAACUUUUACACCCCAAGCCAACCCCGAUGCGGGUCGCUGCGUUUAUCCCACUGGAACAGGCGACCUCGUUACCGGACCAAAGCUCCGUGUGACCUCCGGAACGGCCGCAUCGCACCUCCCGGCGCUGACAGCCGCCUCAGGCAGCGCAGCCACAGCCGGCUAACCGCGCUGUGCGCCGCCUCAGCUCGGCAGUCGGAUUGCGCUGCCCGAAUUACCGGGACCGCCCGGCGCGCUCUGGGGAGCCUCUCACCGUUCGCUCACCCGCACACUGAAGCGGCGACCGCUCCGCGCACCUCACUGCUGUCCCUCCGCUCCCCAGCGGUGGCGGUAACGGCACCGCGCUCGGUACCCCCGCCGGCAAAGCGCCGCAACCGGAGGAGGAGCGGCUGAG
rnacentral:lncRNA from 1 species